UAAUUAUAGUAUUAUUUAGUGAAAGGCUUGAAACAAAAAAUGCAGCUUCUCUUUUUUACAACUUUGGUUACAAUAUGUUCAAUGGCAAAUGCUGCGCCUCGUGAAUGUUGCGGUCCAAAUGAAGAGUACUUUGGAUGCGGUACCGCAUGUCCACGUACAUGCGAGAACAUGCUAGUAAAUCCUAGACCGUGCAUACUAAUAUGCGUUCCGGGAUGUUUCUGCAAGCCAGGUUACGUUCGAAACUCCGACGGGAUCUGUGUGCAACCAUGUCAGUGCCCGGUUUCUGAACCACCUUGUGGAAUUACACAACCAUGUACGGACAUCAAACCGUAUGGUGAUGAACCGAAACCCUGUACUAGCUAAGCGAGGAAAAAAAUGUCAGUAACGAAAUCAGUUAUAAUAUGAGCGAAUGCUGUGUACAUAACGGGUUACUACCCAUAUGUUAUAAGUAUCCUAGCAAUUUAACAUUUAGAGUUUAGGCAUUUAAAGAAAUGAGAUUGAGAAUAAAAUGAAGCUGGCAAA